ensembl:snRNA U1 U1 spliceosomal RNA
AGGUGUAAGUGGCCGACAAGUGUAGACAAGUGUAGACUCCGAGCCAAUGGGCGGCCGCCGUUGUCUACACUUCCAACGGCUAUGCACUCGCCUGGCUCUCACGUCUACGAACUCCCCAAAUGUGGGAAUCUCGACUGCAUAAUUUCUGGUAGUGGGGGACUGCGUUCGCGCUCUCCCCUC